ACAGAGAGAGUUACUUCAGAAGUAUCUUCGACCGAGCUGCCAACGACAACGGAGAGAGUUACUUCAAAAGUUUCGUCGACCAGGCUGCCAACGACAACAGUGGGAGUUAUUUCGAAAGUAUCUUCAAACGAGCUGCCAACGACAACAGAGAGAGUAACUUCAAAAGCUCCGUCGUCGUUUACCGUGCUGCCAACGACAACGGAGAGAGUUACUUCAAAAGUAUCUUCGACCGAGCUGCCAACGACAACGGAGAGAGUUACUUCAAAAGGUGAAUGAUAU